GUGGGGAAUAUUGCACAAUGGGCGCAAGCCUGAUGCAGCAACGCCGCGUGCGGGAUGACGGCCUUCGGGUUGUAAACCGCUUUUAGUAAGGAAGAAGGGCAGCCUUUGGGUUGUUUGACGGUACUUGCAGAAAAAGGACCGGCUAACUACGUGCCAGCAGCCGCGGUAAUACGUAGGGUCCGAGCGUUGUCCGGAAUUAUUGGGCGUAAAGAGCUCGUAGGCGGUUUGUCGCGUCUGCUGUGAAAUCCCGAGGCUCAACCUCGGGUCUGCAGUGGGUACGGGCAGACUGGAGUGCGGUAGGGGAGAAUGGAAUUCCUGGUGUAGCGGUGGAAUGCGCAGAUAUCAGGAGGAACACCGAUGGCGAAGGCAGUUCUCUGGGCCGUAACUGACGCUGAGGAGCGAAAGCGUGGGGAGCGAACAGGAUUAGAAACCCGUGUAGUCC
rnacentral:rRNA from 1 species